rnacentral:rRNA from 1 species
UACGGAGGGGGCUAGCGUUGUUCGGAAUUACUGGGCGUAAAGCGCACGUAGGCGGCUUUGUAAGUCAGGGGUGAAAUCCCGGGGCUCAACCUCGGAACUGCCUUUGAUACUGCAAAUCUCGAGUCCGAUAGAGGUGGGUGGAAUUCCUAGUGUAGAGGUGAAAUUCGUAGAUAUUCGGAGGAACACCAGUGGCGAAGGCGGCUCACUGGUCCAUUACUGACGCUGAGGUGCGAAAGCGUGGGGAGCAAACAGG